UUUCCGUAGGUGAACCUGCGGAAGGAUCAUUAACGAACAACAGAGCUCACCCCUUGUCUCACAAACCCACCUCCCAUGCAUGCUAUCGAAAGGCCAGCUUUGUUGGGAGAUGCGGGCCUGGCCGUUCGUUUCACAAACUCGAGAAUGUCUGUCAGAAUGUCUAUUGGGUGUAACGAUACAAUAAUAUAACUUUCAGCAACGGAUCUCUUGGCUCUCGCAUCGAUGAAGAACGCAGCAAAAUGCGAUAAGUAAUGUGAAUUGCAGAAUUCAGUGAAUCAUCGAAUCUUUGAAUGCACCUUGCGCUCCUUGGCAUUCCAAGGGGCAUGCCUGUUUGAGUGUCAUGAAACUCUCAAUCUCCGCCGUCUUUGCGGAUGAGCGUUGGUUGGAUUUUGGAGGCUUGCCAGACAGUCACGUUCGGCUCCUCUCGAAAGCAUAACGAAGCUUGGGCCGACCGACCGAGUGGACGUGAUAACAAAAAGUCACCGUCGACUCAAGGGUCCGUCGUUGAAUGGUCCGAACGCUUCGUUUCGCCUCUUUGGCAUUUCUCUGACCUCUGACCUCAAAUCAGGUAGGACUACCCGCUGAACUUAA
rnacentral:sRNA from 1 species